UUUUCUGCAAGUGUGCUUCUCACUGCAAAUUUUAUUUGUGGUUGGGCAAGGAACGUUAUUAAUCUUUGCUGGAGGAACACUUGAAUGCCUUGAUGCAGUUUGGCAUCAGGCUUUUUUUCUUUUUUUUUUUUUUUUUUUUUUUGCUUUAGAGGAGGAUGGGGCAGGAAGUCCAGAUCUGAAUAAUAGGAAGGAACUCUUUCAUUAAGGAGCUGGAUUUUUUUUAUGACAAUCAUAUGAAGUUGCUUAAGCAGAACCGAAAUAUUACAAACUAUUAGAGAAAAUCCUGGAGACCUGUUUUAGCAGUCAAAGCUGCAUGAGGAAGAACAUCAGCUCUGGCACUACUUCGCAUACUUAACGUCUUACAAAGUUUCAAACAGCUACUAUAAUAAAGAACACAAGAUGCCACCAAUAACCCAGCAUAAAGAUACUUCUUCUGCAUCCUUGAGAGUGUUGUUCCAGAACUUUCCUGGCCUGAGAUGCAGGAGGGAGAAGCAGAGUCAUUGUCCACAGCAUUGAAGUCUGAUCAGUCAAGCUCUCAGGAGGACACUCCUGCAAGAAAGUGCUGCUCCUCCUGCUACUCCUUCUGUAGCCAACAGGUGAAGAAAAGGCAGAGUGGUUUUGUCUUCCCGCUUCUGAUAAGAACAAAAAUAUGUGCUGUAAUGCCGUUCUGACAUAAGAAUAUGUGCUGGUGAUCACUGGUAUGCUGAUAAUGAUGGAGCCAUGAGGUGUGAUCUGAUACAGCCUGCAACAGGAGGGAGCAGCCAGCAGGGCUUGUACAUCAGCAGAAUGGUUCAGGUAGGAAAAAAAUGAAACACCAUUAAAAUCAGAGGAAUUUAGCCUAGAAUAUUAUUUCAGUGUUUGGACAAAUGCAUUUAUGCAAAUUGUCUUAUUAGCAUAGCUAGCUCUGCAGGAUCUUCAGUGACUGAUGAAGGAUUUCUCAUAGGUUACUUGUUCAGAAGAUUCAUUAUUCCGUUUUCGUUCCUUUGAUGGAAUUCAGUUAGUCAGAAUUGAUAAAAAUUGGAGCCCACUCUCUCCCCAGCACAGACCUAAAUUAAAUUCCUUCUUAGCGGGAUUAAACAACAUUAAUAUGAAUUAUUUGUGUGA
rnacentral:lncRNA from 1 species